rnacentral:tRNA from 1 species
GGCUACGUAGCUCAGUUGGUUAGAGCACAUCACCUCAUAAUGAUGGGGUCACAGGUUCGAAUCCCGUCGUAGCCACCA